UACAGAGGUCCCAAGCGUUGUUCGGAUUCACUGGGCGUAAAGGGUGCGUAGGUGGCCGGGUAAGUCUGAUGUGAAAUCUCCGAGCUUAACUCGGAAAUGGCAUUGGAUACUAUUCGGCUGGAGGGUUGGAGGGGGGACUGGAAUUCUCGGUGUAGCAGUGAAAUGCGUAGAUAUCAGGAGGAACACCGGUGGCGAAGGCGGGUCUCUGGGCAGUAACUGACGCUGAGGAGCGAAAGCGUGGGGAGCGAACAGG
rnacentral:rRNA from 1 species